UACAGAGGGUGCAAGCGUUAAUCGGAAUUACUGGGCGUAAAGCGCACGUAGGCGGAUAUUUAAGUCGGAUGUGAAAUCCCCGGGCUCAACCUGGGAACUGCAUUCGAUACUGAAUGUCUAGAGUAUGGUAGAGGAAAGUGGAAUUCCCGGUGUAGCGGUGAAAUGCGUAGAUAUCGGGAGGAAUACCAGUGGCGAAGGCGGCUUUCUGGACCAAUACUGACGCUGAGGUGCGAAAGCGUGGGGAGCAAACAGG
rnacentral:rRNA from 1 species